rnacentral:lncRNA from 1 species
GAUGUCAUUUUACUAUAAUUUUCCCUGGCCAUUUUAUUAUAAUUUUUAGAUUGGCCAAGGUUAAGAAAGAUGACAGCUCUGUGGGCUAGAGGGUGGAGAGACAAGCCCUCUCCUACACUGGUGAGGGGUGCCAGGAUUCUGUAGCAACACCUUUGAGUGAGCAUAACCUUGGACUCAAACAAUUUUCCUUACAGGCAAUAACCUACGAAAUACUGGGAUAUACGCACAAAGAUCCAUGUGCCAGGAUAUGUGUUGGAGGAUUUAUAUUUGGAGAAAAUUAAAUGCGCAAUGAGAGGAUCGCUGUAGAAGUAGAGAUCAGGCAUGACCUCCCACCAGUGUUUGCGGGCAAUUGUGCCGCUGCAUGGGCAGAAUUUCCCGGGCCAGCAUCCACAUCAAGUCCACUGAGUGAGCUUCCUGUUGCAUGGGAUGGCAAUGUCCACAUGGUGCAGAGGAGAAUCUGUGUGACACAGAGCAAUGGUAGGUAGGUUAUAACAUAAGAUGCCUCUGCGAGAGGCUGGUGGCCGGUCCUGCAAUCAGUAACCACAAGAACCCGUGGAUUCGGGAAUGUUGCCUGGAUCUGGUUAGUGAAGGUUCCAGGAGUGAAGUGGCCAGCAAUAGGAGUGGCUCCAGUGGCAGCAG